GGAAACACAAGCAGUCCUGUGACACAGCCUGUAAUGUCGGCUGGUGUAAUGGGCAGAACUGCCUUUUGUUCUUUUUAAACCUUUUUGAUACUUUUAUCCUCUGCAACACAUAAUAAAUGUUUUUCUCUGUCCAAGGGCAUCAGGGACUCAUGGGCAGCGUGACCUUACUCUAUAUUUACAUCAUGUGGCUGAUCACUUCAGUUGGUAAAUGGACAGAUAAUUCCUCAUAAUUGCCACAGAGAUGCUAAAAUUCAUCUAGAUGUUUAAUUUUUUGCAGGUUCUCAGGUCAUAUCUGCCCAAGUGGGUUCCACAGCUGUCCUGCCCUGUGAACUGAGCAACAUGUCCAAGCCGACAGUAUAUGUUCAGUGGCGCACUGAUUCCACUGUUGUGUUUGAAAGAACGAGAAGAGGUUCAUACCAGGGUGAACGAUAUAAAGGCCGUGUGGACGUUCCUGUGAAGCUGUUGCUUCAGGGGAAUUGUUCCUUGGUGCUGAAGAAUGUGUGGGUUAAUGAUGUUGGAGUUUACUACAGCUACCAGUUUGUGAAAAGCAGAAAGAAGUCUUUUAGUCAUUUCAUCCAGAGAGUCGAACUUGAAGUUUAUGGUAAGUGUUUUAAUUUUCAUUUUGGCACAUGGUUUAUUUAUUUAUUUAAACAGCUGGCUUAAAAAUAAUGAAUUUUGGUGAAUUUAGAAACCUAGCAUGAGCUGUUUUAACAAAGCUAUAAUAGAAAUUAAAUCUACACCUGCGAUGUGCAGCUGCACUACAGUCAGAACUGCUGUUAUAGGAAAUUCAUCAACACCUUCUGAACAAUCAGAGGUUCAAAAGCACUGUGGUAUAAAUUAAGAUACAUGUCUUUAGCUAUGAUAGCAUUUCCUUUUGUAGUAUGUAUUUUAUUGCACUUGUCUUGCAGGAAUUUCUGUAACUCCACAUUCCACUGUCAUGCAAUUCAUUAUUCAAAUUCCAAUUUUCUUAGUCUCACACACACACACACACACAUCUGCAAUACAACAUGCAGUGAAAUGUUUUUUACAAAAUGUCCAGUGACAUUAAAAAACAGAAUUUACAUAAAACAGAAUUUACUGUAUGAGCACAGAAGUAGAAAACAUUAUAACAAUAUGAUAAAGGAUAUAAAAGAGAGAUUGUAGAAAUAUUAACAGGAAUGGAGCGGGUGUAGGUCCAGGGUUGAGUCCGAGGUGUUGACCUGGUUUAGAGCCCGAAUGGACUGUGGAAGGAAGCUCCUCAUAUAUCUGUGUUGGCCUUCAUCGUUCUGAUGCCUGAGGUGCUUCACAAUCUUCCCGGCUUUGGUUCAGCAUCACCUGCUAUAGACAGACUGCGGGUCAGGGAGCUCAGUGUGGAUGGUGUGCUCGGCUGAUCAUACCACCCACUGGAGAGCCGCCUGUCCUGGUUAGUGCUCUUCCCAAACCAGGCUGUGAUGCUUCCCAUCAGGAUGCUGUCAGUGGUGCAGGAGUAGAAGCUCUUUAACACCUUACUGAGCAGUUUCAAGUCCCUUGUGGUAAAGACAUUGAUGGGUGUGAGAUGGACAAGGGUUCUUAACCAAUAAGAAGCCAGAGAGAGGAAGUCAUCGUGGGUGGAGCAAAAACAAUACAGAACAGAUCAGGACUGGGAUGAGGAAACUCUGGACAUGUACAUGCUUCUGAUCAAGAGUUAUAUUAUGGAGUAAUUUAGAAGAAGAAGAAGAAGAAUAAACCUUUAUUUGUCACAUGCACACUUCAAGCACAGUGAAAUUCAUCCUCUGCAUUUAACCCAUCUGAAGUAGUGAACACACGCACACACACCCAGAGCAGUGGGCAGCCAUACUACAGCGCCUGAGGAGCAGUCAGGGGUUAGGUACCUUGCUCAAGGGCACUUCAGCGCAAGGCCGCCCCACGUUAACCUAACUGCAUGUCUUUGGAACAACAUGAAUUGUUGGAAAAUGUACCAAAAUGCUCAUUUCUUUCCUUCUUUUUCUUGUUCCCUUCAUCAUCAUAAAUACCUGAAGAUAUCGAUGCUGGAAUGACCUACUCUCAGAUAAUCCUGGUUGUUUCUUUCAUUUUAUCUUUACUGUAUUUUCUGUUCUACAUUGUAAAGACCAAACUAAGAAGUGAAAAUAUUAAGAUAUUAUGAAUUCUGAGUUUUUGUCGCAACUGCAGUUAUCGUGGUUAAGAUUCUCUUUUGGCCAGUUUUAUUUAUUCACCUAAGCUUGAAUUCCUUCUCCAGACAAAUCUGGUUAAAAUACAAUACAAAUUCAGCUAAAAAUUACUUUUAGUCAGGCAGAUCAGGAGAAUUUGGUCUGUAUGAUACAAUAUUUUGAAGGAAGUGAGAAAAAUUCAUCAUGCAACAGCUGUACUGAUGUAAUUAAAGGUUUUAUAAUUUAUUGUAAAUAUUGCUUUCUUAUUUAUUUUUUUAAC